GACGAACGCUGGCGGCGUGCUUAACACAUGCAAGUCGAACGGAAAGGCCCUGCUUUUGUGGGGUGCUCGAGUGGCGAACGGGUGAGUAACACGUGAGUAACCUGCCCUUGACUUUGGGAUAACUUCAGGAAACUGGGGCUAAUACCGGAUAGGAGCUCCUGCUGCAUGGUGGGGGUUGGAAAGUUUCGGCGGUUGGGGAUGGACUCGCGGCUUAUCAGUUUGUUGGUGGGGUAGUGGCUUACCAAGGCUUUGACGGGUAGCCGGCCUGAGAGGGUGACCGGCCACAUUGGGACUGAGAGACGGCCCAGACUCCUACGGGAGGCAGCAGUGGGGAAUAUUGCACAAUGGGCGGAAGCCUGAUGCAGCAACGCCGCGUGCGGGAUGACGGCCUUCGGGUUGUAAACCGCUUUCGCCUGUGACGAAGCGUGAGUGACGGUAAUGGGUAAAGAAGCACCGGCUAACUACGUG
rnacentral:rRNA from 1 species